rnacentral:tRNA from 1 species
GGGUCAUUAGUUCAGUUGGUUAGAACAUUCGGCUCAUAACCGAACGGUCAUAGGUUCGAGUCCUAUAUGACCCA